GAUCAUAUGUGCUAACGUGUGUAUCUGGUCAGACUGGAGAUGUUCUUUGUGGAAAGGACUUCUACUGACGUUCUGGGAAGAGAGAAGCAAUGCAACAAAACGAAACGAAACGCUCGGCUAGAAGGAUCGUUUCCCAAGUCUGUGAUGCAUCUUAUCCUAAAAUUUAAGAAUACAUGGAGCAGCGGACUUGGCUAUGUGGAGCAAAGGCUAGAUAAGAAUGUCACCUUUGAGACUAAACCAAGGAAGUGCCUGCAACAAGGGGAAGAACUAAAAGCCAUAUCAGUGCAUGCAAGUUGCUAUUGGACAAAAGACAAGACAAAAAGAUCUGGUGGUGGACUUCCAGCAUGCCUCUGAGACCAGUCACCAUUUAGGGGAGGAUGUGCAAAGUGGUGCAAACAAGACUGGUCGACAACACAGUGGUGCAGUACAAGGAGGGCCAGAGCAGACUGGACUUGCUAAGGAGACUCAGGUCUUUUGAUGUAUGCAGCAAGCUGCUGGAAAUGUUCUAUCAGUCCAUAGUAGCCAGUGUGGUGUUCUACACUAUGGUCUCCUGGGAAAGCAACUUUAUCUCAAAAGAUGCACAAUGCCUGAACAAACUUACCCUGGGCUCACUGGAAGAUGUUGUAGAAAAGAGGAUAGUGGAAAAAUUUAAUGCCAGUAUGAAAAAUCCCCUCGAGGAGGCUCUCUCUUGAAGCACUUUUAGCCACAGGCUCAUACCAGCACAGUGUGCUAAGGAGCACCUCGAAGGGCCUUUUCUUCCCACUGCUAUCAGGUAAUUCAAUGCCUCCUCCUGACCCGCUCUUCUAGUUUGUUUUGAAAUAUAUGCAUAAUAUACAUUUUUAUAUUUUUAUCUGUUGAUUGAUUGCUUAGUUUUAUUAUUUGUCCUGUGAGUCUGAAUCUUUGUUUUUUUAUGUUUCUGCUGCUGUAUGCAUCUGAAUUUCCUCAUGGAAUAAGUAAAGUUUGUGGACUUCCC